AAACCACUGCGCAAAACAUUCCGAGUUACAAGAAUAUUUUUCUUGGUAAAGCCUGUUUGGAAAAUAGUGCUGCACUUUAAUUAGAAACAGAAGAUGAGAUUCCUUCAGCGUGUAUUCAGAGUUAACAAUACGGAAAGUAAGCAAAAGUACUGUUAAUUUUUUCUUCUUCUUUUUUUUUUUCCAUGAAAACAUGAAACUCAAUUUAUUCGUCAUGCUUAUCUAAUUCCGAGUUGAAAUUCCAUCGGUUUUGUUACAAACAGGUUUCUUGAUUUCUCUCCUCUUUCCACAGUGCGACUUGGCCCGUCAGAAGUGGCCGUCCGCCAGGACUCCUCUCAGCUCACCUCCCUGAAGAUUCCUGGCUCUACAGAAACAGGAAAGGGCGUCUGGAAAUUGGAUGAGAUGUUCGUUUAGCGGGCAGCUGGUCUGGGGCCGAUAUGAAUUGCGUUUCCCCACGCCAGGAAAGGUCAAGCCCCCUCGCCUUGACGGAGUGCAUCAGCCUAUUGAGUGGCGCUUUAGUCCAUUUACCAGCAACCAAUGGCACGACGGCGCAUGGGAGAGAGCGAGGCACAAAAACUCUGUGUAGUAAAGAGAAAAGAAUGACAACACGUCAGAUAUAAAUUCAUUGUUUCUCAUCACCCAGCUGGGGCAGGAAUGGCUGGGAGUGAUUGCUGGGGUGGGGGGAAGUGGGAGAGGAAUACUGCCAUCUGAGUGGGCUUUGCAUGUGUGAGAAAAGAGAUGAGCACCCCUCCUUUACCAGCAGUGACACAACAUUUGCCUUUGGUGCAAAUGUUUAAAACUAAAACAUGCAAAAAAAAAAUAGGUAAUUGUGGGAAUUUGGUUAAAAGAAUUAUUGAGCUUUUUUUUUUUACUAUCAUUUACCAAGUAACAGAGUGGUUCUCAAACCAUAAGGUUUUUAAAACUCCCCCCCUUUAUUGACACCUAUAACCUACAUAAAUGUACUAAAAAAAAAAACCUGAGAUGGUAAACCCUUGUUUUUAUGUCAUGUACUAACUGUAUAAUCUUAGAAAAAACAUGAAAAAAAUAAAAGAGGUGUAUGUGAAGAAGUGUAGUCAAUGUCAAGAAAGUUGAUAAGAAAUCCAUUAGCAGACAGUUCAGUUUUCUUCCUGGUGGAUUUUAUUCUUUGACAUUUUGUUUUUAUGACAUCAUCAAUCUCCCAGCAGCCAAAAUCUUACUGGUUUUACACAGAAUUGGAAACACCCUGGCAUUUCAUCAGUGUGUACCAUUAGAAAAUAAGUCAAACCACAUAACAAAAUCUUAACAAAGAAACAGCAAUAAGGUCAUUAAUUCACAAACUCAUUUACCUAAAUGGCAUGGUGCAAGUUAAAACAUUUAAUGCAAGGCAGCUGAACAGAUUACUUAAAAAAAAACAAUGCAAUACAAAAAGAAAACCCUUCACUUUGUUCUACCCAGUGAUGCAAUCAGUGACAUCAUGCACCAAUUUAAGCAGAAAAUGCUGGCCCGUCCCACACACCUGUUCUGGCUUUGUAAUCUAAAGGGACAAACAAUGGUGAGUAUAAAAGAAACAAACAAAAAGAAUUUGCCAAAAAUGUGCAUUGUAACAGAAUAAAUAUGCAAAUGGAUCAACGGUUCAGUAGUGUUACCUUUAAAAAGAAACAUGCACUGAUGCAAAGUGCAACGUAAUAUAGGUAAUUGAAGUGAAGUUAAAACAGCAAUGUUUAAACUAAAGUAACAUGAUCAACUAGAGAAGGAUGAGGGAAUAAAUAAAACAUGUCUAAGGGACAAGUGGUGAAUAAAUACUAACUUAACCACUUUGUGACUGCAAAAGCCUGCUUUGCUGCUUAAAUAUCCACCCUUAAGACUACUAUUAAUAAUCUGCUUUCUACUUUUGAUUUAACUUCAACACCUUGUCUUUAUUACACACAUCUAACAUUGAUUAUAGUGCAUCUGAUUAGCCUAAUUCAGCUGUCUAAGGGGAAAUGAAAUCAGCUCAUUUGCAGUAGGUCUUUUUGCCAACGCCAUGCAUCGAGGAGAAGCUUUAAAUUGUCUAAUCGUGCAGGUUUAUGAGCCAGGAGGAGAGUUUCACUGUGUACACACCAUACACAAACAAUGGGACAGGCUGCACAAUAUCAGAAAAUCAUGUAAUGGCAGCAUCAUGAGAAAAUAAAGUGAUGAUGAUCUCAGUUGCAAUUGAUGUAAGUUUUUCUUACUCCCGCCUUGUUCAUGUAUAUUUCCAACUCUGUUAGUGUUCGAAUCUGGGACUCUGUAAUCUGUGUCAGGCA